GCGUACUAUUCACUUGCUGGCAGUGACUUCUAAGGGAAUGCCUGUGUGCAAUGAGACGGAGAAAAUCCAAAAAGCACCUCAUUGCAAAGGGAUAUAAAUGUCACAGAUAUGAUCUACACAUUUAGUGCCCUUAGCUACACUUGAUUUUACCUCGAAACAGAAGAGUUCUAGGUCUAACACCAACUGCAGUGCUAUUCAUAAAACUGGUAAUAUAAAGAUCUACAAUAAAUAUAAAAGAUUAUAGUGUAUUUUUUUUUGUUACAAAGUUCGUGCUAUGAAGUUCAAAUACUUGCUCAUUUGUGUUCUGGUCGCUGACUUAAUCUGGACAAAUUGUUUAGAUGCAGCAGCUCUUCGAGCCCUAAUGCUCCCUGACGAUGGAGCUCCAAGGGAAGGUAAUCAAGGCAAUCAUGACUUACAGCGCCGCAACAGUGGUGGCCCCUUGUCUUUUUGUUGCAACAAUGGCAGGAUCGACCCGGCGAGAAAACUUUCGUUUGAAAGUGAAAGAACGUUUAACUAAUGUUAAACUUACGUUAAACUAAUGUUAAACUAGUGCUGUUAGCCGCCAAGCUAUAAACAUGUAAAUAAUACAUAAUAAAUGGAAAAGAAAAAAAAUACCGGUAUUAAUAGCGAUAUUCGAUCAUAGCUGAUACAAUUACAUAAACUGGCAGCAUGCAUGCAUUUUGAGAAUCUUUGUGUAUAAUUUUGGCAGCUUUAUCUUAAUGAAUCGUCUCACUACAAUUAGUUCAUGAUAAUGGUGUAAUUAUAACAUUCAUUGUGACUAAAAGGCCAGCAUUUUAUGUUAUAUUUAUACAAAUAAGCUCACUAAAGGGUUUUUGAAACAUUUUAUUAUUUGUUAUUUUUUCAUAAGCAGAUGUUUUCAUUUGUAUUUAAACUCUCAUUUUUUAUAAACAUCACACACACGUAUGCUCUGUCUGUCUGUCUGUCUCUCUUUCGCUCAAAUUCUCACAUAUUCUCAUGCUCUCUUUCACAGGUACAUGCUCUCUCUUUCUCUACCUAUCUAUCUCUGUCUCUACCUCUGUCUCUACCUCUCUAUCCGUCUUAUACCUCUCUCUUUCUCUCUCUCUCUACCCCCCCCUCUCUCUCUCUCUCUCUCUCUGUCUUUCUUACACCCAUCUUGACAAAAAAAGGAACUGUAAGUCAGUGUAAGCUAUAAUAUUGAAGCGAAACAAAGCAGACUAAAAGAGCCUUUAUUCCCAGUACACCUACGUAGAGAUAGAUACGCUCUGCACUUGAAACGGGUAGGGGAAGGGAAAAAAAAUGAGAAUGUUUUCAUCACAGAUAUGAGUGUUUCUACAUGUGGAUACUGUAAUGUACAAGAAUCAUAAAGAUUUUCUUCUUGUUAAAUAAAUAUUACAAAAUAAAGUGUUUUUUUUUUCAUAAUUUAGCAAUCUCACUUUGGUGUAAAUUUGUCUGAAACAAUGAUAGUUCAUAUAAAAUAUAAACUUCCAUGUUAGUUAAGAGAUUUUAAGCAUAUUUUUGUAAUUUAAAUUUUAAACGGUUCUUUCAUCCUGAUGGCUUUAUUCAAAUAUUACUGUCCUUUUUUUAGAUAUGGUCACUCACUUGUACAAAUUCCUAUUUCAUUUGUAAAUAUUCAUAAUGCCCAAUUAUAAUAUGUACAUGUACUUAUUACAUUUACUAAAUAUUAAUUUAAGCAUUUCAAUACAUAAAAAACUAAGGUAAAUGGGAUAGUGCCGUAAAUUGCAAAAUAAUAAUAAUAAUUUAAAAAAAAAGUAACUAUUCAAUUUUAGGAUUGCCAAACUAAACUUUUAUGUUUUGAUUUUGUUUGAUUUAUUACAUCGUAUUUCGUACAGAAAAAAAAAUGAGCUGAAUGGUUAACAUUUUGGACUGUAUUUUAAGUAGGACUCUCACUUUCAGGUUAAGUUGUUAUAUUCUAAUACAAUAUGCCCCUGAAUCGUGCCAUUUUUUAUUACAUAUUAUACUUUUUUAAACGCACGUACGUAUCGUUUCUAUAUCA